rnacentral:tRNA from 1 species
GGCAUCGCAGCUCAGCUGGUAGAGCACUCGCGGUUUUAAGGAGAGGGUGGGGACCAUGCGUGGGUUCGAAUCCCGCCGAGGCCA